rnacentral:rRNA from 1 species
CGUAGGGGGCGAGCGUUGUCCGGAAUUAUUGGGCGUAAAGAGCGUGUAGGCGGUUCGGUAAGUCUGCCGUGAAAACCUGAGGCUCAACCUCGGGCGUGCGGUGGAUACUGCCGGGCUAGAGGACGGUAGAGGCGAGUGGAAUUCCCGGUGUAGCGGUGAAAUGCGCAGAUAUCGGGAGGAACACCAGUAGCGAAGGCGGCUCGCUGGGCCGUUCCUGACGCUGAGACGCGAAAGCUAGGGGAGCGAACAGGAUUAGAUACCCUGGUAGUCCUAGCCGUAAACGAUGGACACUAGGUGUGGGGGGAGUCGAAUCCCUCUGUGCCGCAGUUAACGCGUUAAGUGUCCCGCCUGGGGAGUACGGCCGCAAGGCUA